rnacentral:rRNA from 1 species
UACGUAGGCGGCAAGCGUUGUCCGGAUUUACUGGGCGUAAAGAGCGCGCAGGCGGUCAGAUAAGUCGAAUGUGAAAGCCCCCGGCUCAACUGGGGAGGGUCAUUCGAUACUGUUCGACUCGAAGGCAGGAGAGGGAAGUGGAAUUCCCGGUGUAGUGGUGGAAUGCGUAGAUAUCGGGAGGAACACCAGUGGCGAAGGCGGUUACCUGGAGCUUUGCUGACGCUGAUGCGCGAAAGCGUGGGGAGCGAUCCGG